GAGUGGCUUUAGCCACAAGCCCAAGUAUGGUUUCUCAAGGUCUACAGUGAGGCCCACCGACGCGCUGGGGAUCUGUUCUCCUGGAGAAGGGGGAAGGGUCUAAUCUGGGCUGCUGAGACGCAAACCAAAACGCCCCCCCCCCCCUGAUAUUGAUCUUUAGCAGUGCUCUUGCUCCGUUGAGGCCCAUCACCCGCGUCGUAAAGCUGCCGUGUUUAGCAGGCUUCCUCAUUUCCUGCUGCUGUCCCUUCGGCCCAGACUUCUCAUGGAUCCAGGGCAUUCACCCUCUUCCUACAUGGUCCAGGAACCUCAAGAGGUCGGAUUUCAGAACGAAUAGGAAGCCACAAGAAUCUUGCAGGCAAGACAAACAGGCGUCAGAGACCCUGAUCUUCC
rnacentral:lncRNA from 1 species